rnacentral:rRNA from 1 species
AACGAACGUUGGCGGCGUGGAUUAGGCAUGCAAGUCGAACGAAUCCCAGGGGGGUAACUCUCUGGGGGAAGUGGCGAAAGGGGCAGUAAGGCGUGGGUAACUUGCCCCGGGAUUUGGAAUAGCCUUCCUAACGGAAGGGUAAUACCAGAUGCCAUGAUCGGAGGGCAUCCUCUGGUCAUGAAAGCUCAGGCGUCCCGGGAGAGGCUCACGUGGUAUUAGCUAGUUGGUGAGGUAACGGCUCACCAAGGCUUAGAUGCCUAGCAGGUGUGAGAGCACGACCUGCGCCACUGGCACUGAGACACUGGCCAGACUCCUACGGGGAGGCUGCAGUCGAGGAUCUUCGGCAAUGGGCGCAAGCCUGACCGAGCGACGCCGCGUGUGCGAUGAAGGCCUU